AUUGAACGCUGGCGGCAUGCCUUACACAUGCAAGUCGAACGGCAGCACGGGGGCAACCCUGGUGGCGAGUGGCGAACGGGUGAGUAAUACAUCGGAAUGUACCCAGUAGUGGGGGAGUAACUAGUCGAAAGAUUAGCUAAUACCGCAUACGCACUAUGGUGGAAAGCGGGGGAUCGCAAGACCUCGCGCUAUUGGAGCAGCCGAUGUCCGAUUAGGUAGUUGGUGGGGUAAAAGCCUACCAAGCCUGCGAUCGGUAACUGGUCUGAGAGGACGACCAGUCACACUGGGACUGAGACACGGCCCAGACUCCUACGGGAGGCAGCAGUGGGGAAUUUUGGACAAUGGGGGGCAACCCUGAUCCAGCCAUGCCGCGUGAGUGAAGAAGG
rnacentral:rRNA from 1 species